AGUGAACGCUGGCGGUAGGCCUAACACAUGCAAGUCGAACGGCAGCACAGCAAGAGCUUGCUCUUACGGGUGGCGAGUGGCGGACGGGUGAGGAAUACAUCGGAAUCUACUUUUUCGUGGGGGAUAACGUAGGGAAACUUACGCUAAUACCGCAUACGACCUACGGGUGAAAGCAGGGGAUCUUCGGACCUUGCGCGAUUGAAUGAGCCGAUGUCGGAUUAGCUAGUUGGCGGGGUAAAGGCCCACCAAGGCGACGAUCCGUAGCUGGUCUGAGAGGAUGAUCAGCCACACUGGAACUGAGACACGGCCCAGACUCCUACGGGAGGCAGCAGUGGGGAAUAUUGGACAAUGGGCGCAAGCCUGAUCCAGCCAUACCGCGUGGGUGAAGAAGGCCUUCGGGUUGUAAAGCCCUUUUGUUGGGAAAGAAAAGCAGCAGGUUAAUACCCCGCUGUUCUGACGGUACCCAAAGAAUAAGCACCGGCUAACUUCGUG
rnacentral:rRNA from 1 species